GAUGAACGCUGGCGGCGUGCCUAAUACAUGCAAGUAGAACGCUGAAGGAGGAGCUUGCUCUUCUGGAUGAGUUGCGAACGGGUGAGUAACGCGUAGGUAACCUGCCUGGUAGCGGGGGAUAACUAUUGGAAACGAUAGCUAAUACCGCAUGACAACAGUUAUUGCAUGAUAACUGUUUAAAAGGGGCAACUGCUCCACUACCAGAUGGACCUGCGUUGUAUUAGCUAGUUGGUGAGGUAACGGCUCACCAAGGCGACGAUACAUAGCCGACCUGAGAGGGGGAUCGGCCACACGGGGACUGAGACACGGCCCAGAAUCCUACGGGAGGCAGCAGUAGGGAAUCUUCGGCAAUGGACGGAAGUCUGACCGAGCAACGCCGCGUGAGUGAAGAAGGGUUUCGGAUCGUAAAGCUCGGUUGUAAGAGAAGAACGAGUGUGAGAGUGGAAAGUUCACACUGUGACGGUAGCUUACCAGAAAGGGACGGCUAACUACGUG
rnacentral:rRNA from 1 species